AAAAUGCCUUUAGACCUCGGCGGGUAUUCUCAGGUGAUUAACACGUGAUAAGAAGUUGUUAUUGCUUGAGAAUACACGUUGUAUCUAACAAAAACAAC
rnacentral:pre_miRNA from 1 species